GCAGCGAAGUGGGUGACGUCAGGCUUCCAAGAAAAGCCCUAUACCCGUUAAGGCAUGAUGGCCUGUACCCGAAACCGACACAGGUGGGGUGGUAGAGAAUACCGAGGGGCGCGAGGUAACUCUCUCUAAGGAACUCGGCAAAAUGGCCCCGUAACUUCGGGAGAAGGGGUGCCACCGCAAGGUGGUCGCAGUGAAGAGGUCCAGGCGACUGUUUACCAAAAACACAGGUCUCCGCUAAGUCGCAAGACGAUGUAUGGGGGCUGACGCCUGCCCAGUGCCGGAAGGUUAAGGAAGUUAGUCAGCGAAAGCGAAGCUAGCGACUGAAGCCCCGGUGAACGGCGGCUGUAACUAUAACGGUCCUAAGGUAGCGAAAUUCCUUGUCGGGUAAGUUCCGACCCGCACGAAAGGCGUAACGAUCUGGGCGCUGUCUCGGAGAGAGGCUCGGCGAAAUAGAAUUGUCUGUGAAGAUGCGGACUACGUGCACCCGGACAGAAAGACCCUAUGAAGCUUUACUGUAGCUUGGUAUUGUGCCCGGGCUCUGAAUGCGCAGGAUAGGUGGGAGGCUUUGAUCCAUGGCUUGCGGGUCAUGGUGAGCCAACGGUGAGAUACCACUCUUUCAGAGCUAGGGUUCUAACGGUCACCCGUUAUCCGGGGACCGGACAGUAUCUGGUGGGCAGUUUGACUGGGGCGGUCGCCUCCUAAAAGGUAACGGAGGCGCGCAAAGGUUUGCUCAGGCUGGUUGGAAAUCAGCCGACGAGUGUAAAAGCAGAAGCAAGCUUGACUGCGAGACCAACAAGUCGAACAGGGACGAAAGUCGGCUUUAGUGAUCCGACGGUUCUAAGUGGAAGGGCCGUCGCUCAACGGAUAAAAGUUACUCUAAGGAUAACAGGCUGAUCUCCCCCAAGAGUUCACAUCGACGGGGAGGUUUGGCACCUCGAUGUCGGCUCAUCGCAACCUGGGGCUGAAGUCGGUCCCAAGGGUUGGGCUGUUCGCCCAUUAAAGCGGUACGCGAGCUGGGUUCAGAACGUCGUGAGACAGUUCGGUCCAUAUCCGGUGCAUGCGCAGGAAUAUUGAGAGGAGUUCUCCCUAGUACGAGAGGACCGGGAGGAACGCACCUCUGGUGUACCAGUUAUCGUGCCAACGGUAAACGCUGGGUAGCCAUGUGCGGAGAGGAUAACCGCUGAAAGCAUCUAAGUGGGAAGCCCACCUCAAGAUGAGUAUUCCCAUGGCAUAAGCCAGUAAGGUCACGGGAAGAACACCCGUUGAUAGGCUCUACGUGGAAGCGCAGUAAUGCGUGAAGCGGAGGAGUACUAAUAGACCGAGGGCUUG
rnacentral:rRNA from 1 species